UACGUAGGGGGCAAGCGUUGUCCGGAAUCAUUGGGCGUAAAGCGCGUGUAGGCGGCUCGGUAAGUCUGCUGUGAAAGUCCAGGGCUCAACCCUGGGAUGCCGGUGGAUACUGUCGAGCUCGAGUCCGGAAGAGGUGAGUGGAAUUCCUGGUGUAGCGGUGAAAUGCGCAGAUAUCAGGAGGAACACCAAUGGCGAAGGCAGCUCGCUGGGACGUGACUGACGCUGAGACGCGAAAGCAUGGGGAGCGAACAGG
rnacentral:rRNA from 1 species